rnacentral:rRNA from 1 species
GACGAACGCUGGCGGCGUGCCUAAUACAUGCAAGUAGAACGCUGAAGCUUGGUGCUUGCACCGAGCGGAUGAGUUGCGAACGGGUGAGUAACGCGUAGGUAACCUGCCUGGUAGCGGGGGAUAACUAUUGGAAACGAUAGCUAAUACCGCAUAAGAGUAGAUGUUGCAUGACAUUUGCUUAAAAGGUGCAAUUGCAUCACUACCAGAUGGACCUGCGUUGUAUUAGCUAGUUGGUGAGGUAACGGCUCACCAAGGCAACGAUACAUAGCCGACCUGAGAGGGUGAUCGGCCACACUGGGACUGGGACACGGCCCAGACUCCUACGGGAGGCAGCAGUAGGGAAUCUUCGGCAAUGGACGGAAGUCUGACCGAGCAACGCCGCGUGAGUGAAGAAGGUUUUCGGAUCGUAAAGCUCUGUUGUAAGAGAAGAACGAGUGUGAGAGUGGAAAGUUCACACUGUGACGGUAUCUGACCAGAAAGGGACGGCUAACUACGUG